GAGUGAACGCUGGCGGUAGGCCUAACACAUGCAAGUCGAACGGCAGCACAGUAAGAGCUUGCUCUUAUGGGUGGCGAGUGGCGGACGGGUGAGGAAUACAUCGGAAUCUACCUUUUCGUGGGGGAUAACGUAGGGAAACUUACGCUAAUACCGCAUACGACCUUCGGGUGAAAGCAGGGGACCUUCGGGCCUUGCGCGGAUAGAUGAGCCGAUGUCGGAUUAGCUAGUUGGCGGGGUAAAGGCCCACCAAGGCGACGAUCCGUAGCUGGUCUGAGAGGAUGAUCAGCCACACUGGAACUGAGACACGGUCCAGACUCCUACGGGAGGCAGCAGUGGGGAAUAUUGGACAAUGGGCGCAAGCCUGAUCCAGCCAUACCGCGUGGGUGAAGAAGGCCUUCGGGUUGUAAAGCCCUUUUGUUGGGAAAGAAAAGCAGCCGGCUAAUACCCGGUUGUUCUGACGGUAC
rnacentral:rRNA from 1 species